rnacentral:misc_RNA from 1 species
UACGGGAAGCGGCAGUGGAAAUUUUGGACAAUGGGAAACCCUGAUCAGCCAUCCGCGUGCGAUGAAGGCCUUCGGGUUGUAAAGCGCUUUUGGCUUUGAAAGAAACAGCGCAGGAUAAUGCCCCGUGCAUAGCGGCAGUACCUGCAGAAUACUUCAGCUAACACUACGUGUCCCAGCAGCCGCGGCGGUAUGCCCGUAGUGCAAAGCGUUAAUCAGGAAUACUGGGCGUAAAGCGUGCGCAGGCGGUUCGGAAAGAAGAUCAGCGAGAAAUCAGGCUUAGCUUUGGAACUGCAUUUUUAACUGCCGAGCUAGGUGUGUCAGAGGUGAAUUCGCGUGUAGCAGUGAAGUAAACAGAUAUGCGGAGGAACACCGAUGGCGAGAAGGCAACCUCCUGGGAUAACACUGACGCUCAUGCGAAAGCGUGAAGACGGCACAGGAUUAGAUACCCUGUAGU